UUUUUAUGUGGACCUCUGUUGUUUGUGCCAUUGGUACUUGGACAGAACCACAUAAGCAGGUGAAACUUCUUAGAGGAACUGGCGCCCGAAAAGGCGCACGAGAAAGAGCAAUAACAGGUCUGUGAUGCCCUAAGAUGUCCGGGGCCGCACGCGUGCUACAAUGACGAUGCUACUGAGCAUGAUUAACUUGUCCGAAAGGAUUGGUGAAACUGUUCAAUCAUCGUCGUGACUGGGAUUGGGGUUUGUAAUUAUCCCCCAUGAACCAGGAAUUCCUAGUAAGCACAAGUCAUAAGCUUGUGCUGAUUACGUCCCUGCCCUUUGUACACACCGCCCGUCGCUACUACCGAUUGAAUGGUUUAGCAAGGACAUUGGAUUGAGCCCUUGCGGUUUCGGCUGCUUGGGUUUGAGAAGAUGUCCGAACUUGAUCAUUUAGAGGAAGUAAAAGUCGUAACAAGGUUUCCGUAGGUGAACCUGCGGAAGGAUCAUUA
rnacentral:rRNA from 1 species